rfam:Oryza glumipatula chromosome 9, whole genome shotgun sequence.
AAUAAGUGCAGUUUUGCACUAUUCACGUUUAACGUUUGACCGUUCGUCUUAUUUGAAAUUUUUUUAUGAUUAGUAUUUUUAUUACUAUUAGAUAAUAAAACAUGAAUAGUAUAUUAUGUGUGACUAAAUAUUUUUAAAUUUUUCAAAUAAGACGGACGGUCAAACGUUGGACACGGAUAUUCAUGACUGCACUUAUU